UUGUUGUUGAUGUUGAUAAUGUUAAUCUUCCUUGAAAGCAGGUGCUAUAUGAGCCACCUGGUGCUGGUUAUUGGUAGGGAGAACAGUCUUCCUCUUCACAGAGGGUUUUUGUUUAAUAUGGGAAGACACAACAUGUGCCUCUCCCUCCUUCUUCUUUGUAAAGCCCCCAUAUAGCUUUGCAGAAGAGCCUUCAUCCCUGGUUAGACGUCCUUCC
rnacentral:lncRNA from 1 species